CCUACGGGAGGCAGCAGUGAGGAAUAUUGGUCAAUGGGCGCUAGCCUGAACCAGCCAAGUCGCGUGAAGGAUGACUGCCCUAUGGGUUGUAAACUUCUUUUAUAUGGGAAUAAAGUGCAGUAUGUAUACUGCUUUGCAUGUACCUUAUGAAUAAGGAUCGGCUAACUCCGUGCCAGCAGCCGCGGUAAUCCGGCGGAUCCGAGCGUUAUCCGGAUUUAUUGGGUUUAAAGGGAGCGUAGGCGGGUUGUUAAGUCAGUUGUGAAAGUUUGCGGCUCAACCGUAAAAUUGCAGUUGAUACUGGCAGCCUUGAGUACAGUAGAGGUAGGCGGAAUUCGUGGUGUAGCGGUGAAAUGCUUAGAUAUCACGAAGAACUCCGAUUGCGAAGGCAGCCUGCUGGACUGUAACUGACGCUGAUGCUCGAAAGUGUGGGUAUCAAACAGGAUUAGAUACCCGUGUAGUC
rnacentral:rRNA from 1 species